rnacentral:lncRNA from 12 species
GACCAAUUGGUGAAGUGACAGGAUGUGAUUUAGGAGACUAGGUUAUCAAAGACGUUGCCACUUUUGCUUGCUUUCUUUAGGAUCAGCCAACACUCAAACACCCAUGAAGGACAUGAAUGCCCCAGGAUGCUGAGACCUCCAGCCACCCACCAGCGCCAAUCUGCCAGCUGUCCCGGGAUCUGUCUUGAAGGCAGUUCCUCUAGCAUUAUUAGGAGCUUGGGAUGGCCCUCGUCCUGGCUGAUCUUCCUUCCAAUCUCAGAAACGUCUUAAACUGGAGCCGCCUAUCAUUAAUGACCUAAUAAUGCACAAGAGCUGAGAGGUUGUGAUUAUGACAUACUUUGGAAAAACUGGUAUGACAUUGGCCACAGACUAUGAAAUUCACUUUGUAUGAAGAACAUGGUGGAUGUGAGGCUAUUUCCUCUGGAAAGGAGCAGAGAUAUGUCAUGGUUUAUGUGAAACCCCCAACGACCACAUGGGGAAACCCAACAACAUAUUUGCUUUCGCACACAAGGAAUGGAGAACAGAGAUUUUAAGGAGAACCGUCUUGCGCUGUUUCUGCAUUUUCUGCACCUGUGGCACCUCUGGCGAUUUCGAUGUUAAAGUCACCCUUUAAAAGAGUAGAAGCUUGUAAGAGGUAUAAGGAGCACCUCCGAGAGAAUGAGAUGAUUAUGCAGUCUCCCCAUUACCCAGCACUGAAGCUGCGUCCGGGGAGCCCCAGACGAGAGGUCCAGUGGUGAUGGCUGGAUGCAAACGAGGUCUCUGGAGGCGCAGCCCAGGAUUAUCACCUUCCCCCUCCUCAGGAACCAGACAGAAGCAAACAUUCCAGGAGUGAUUGUUUGCAGGCCACACUCGGGGUACCCGGAGAGCUCCCGGUGUUGAUUUUCAGUACACGACAUGAACAGAUGGUCCAUGGUUCGUGGAACCAACCGAAUGCUUCGUCUGUCCACCUUCCACCUUUAGGAAGAGCAGACCAUCUCUGAUUUAGAUUGCAGGCCGGAGCACUGGCCCUGCAGCUUGAUCUUUUUAGAUCUGGGACUUGCUGAGAAACGCACUUCUGCCUUUUGGCCCUAUUCCCAAACUAAUUUAGAAGGGAAGUGUAGGAAAGAAAAAAAAAAGAAUGGAAGGGUAAGGAGAGUGUUUGUUGUUUUCAUUGCCGGGUCAACUGAGAAUGCAUUCUCAGGAAAUCGUGGUGCAACUCUUCUUUUGUCUGGAUCCAAUUGUUAGAAACGAAUUUCCUUUGUUCUCAAGACAACAAUGACCUUGACCUGCAGGGUGCCUUUGCCCUUUACGUGCAUAUCACCAAGUUACAAAAAUCGUGCAAGUCUGUAUUGCUGUCCCGCACGACAUCCAAGGAAUCUGUCCGGUUUGGCGUAGUUUGGUUCGGAAGGGAUUUAAUUGCUGCAAACUGUAUUUGUAAACGAGAGCUUUCCACCACAUCUAACAAUUUCAUGAAGUAAUUGUUAGCAGAAACAAAAUCUGUAUUUAUUAAUGUUUAUUGUUUUCUGGCUGAAAUUAAUUUUCAAAGCAUACUUCUGAGUGCCAUUUACAUUCAAAAAUAAAUACAGCAGAUGUGUUAUUAGGCCA